rnacentral:rRNA from 1 species
UCUGGAAACUGUNUGACUUGAGUGCAGAAGGGGAGAGUGGAAUUCCAUGUGUAGCGGUGAAAUGCGUAGAUAUAUGGAGGAACACCAGUGGCGAAAGCGGCUNUCCGGUCUGUCACUGACGCUGAGGCUNGAAAGCGUGGGUAGCGAACAGGAUUAGAUACCCUGGUAGUCCACGCCGUAAACGAUGAGUGCUAGGUGUUAGGCCCUUUCCGGGGCUUAGUGCCGGAGCUAACGCAAUAAGCACUCCGCCUGGGGAGUACGACCGCAAGGUUGAAACUCAAAGGAAUUGACGGGGGCCCGCACAAGCGGUGGAGCAUGUGGUUUAAUUCGAAGCAACGCGAAGAACCUUACCAGGUCUUGACAUCCCGAUGCUAUUCUUAGAGAUAGGAAGUUACUUCGGUACAUCGGAGACAGGUGGUGCAUGGUUGUCGUCAGCUCGUGUCGUGAGAUGUUGGGUUAAGUCCCGCAACGAGCGCAACCCUUAUUGUUAGCUGCCAUCAUUAAGUUGGGCACUCUAGCGAGACUGCCGGUAAUAAACCGGAGGAAGGUGGGGAUGACGUCAAAUCAUCAUGCCCCUUAUGACCUGGGCUACACACGUGCUACAAUGGUCGGUACAACGAGUUGCGAGCCGGUGACGGCAAGCUAAUCUCUGAAAGCCGAUCUCAGUUCGGAUUGGAGGCUGCAACUCGCCUCCAUGAAGUCGGAAUCGCUAGUAAUCGCGGAUCAGCACGCCGCGGUGAAUACGUUCCCGGGCCUUGUACACACCGCCCGUCACACCACGAGAGUUUGUAACACCCGAAGUCGGUGAGGUANCCUUUUAGGG